GGCACAAGCGGUGGAUGAUGUGGAUUAAUUCGAUGCAACGCGAAAACCUUACCUACCCUUGACAUGUCCGGAAUCCCGAAGAGAUUUGGGAGUGCUCGCAAGAGAGCCGGAACACAGGUGCUGCAUGGCUGUCGUCAGCUCGUGUCGUGAGAUGUUGGGUUAAGUCCCGCAACGAGCGCAACCCUUGUCAUUAGUUGCCAUCAUUUGGUUGGGCACUCUAAUGAGACUGCCGGUGACAAACCGGAGGAAGGUGGGGAUGACGUCAAGUCCUCAUGGCCCUUAUGGGUAGGGCUUCACACGUCAUACAAUGGUCGGUACAGAGGGUUGCCAACCCGCGAGGGGGAGCUAAUCCCACAAAGCCGAUCGUAGUCCGGAUCGCAGUCUGCAACUCGACUGCGUGAAGUCGGAAUCGCUAGUAAUCGUGGAUCAGCAUGUCACGGUGAAUACGUUCCCGGGUCUU
rnacentral:rRNA from 1 species